rnacentral:tRNA from 1 species
GUCAGUUUAGCUUAAUGGUAAAGCACUUACCUGGAGUCAUAUCAAGAAAUAUGGGUCCCAUAGCUGGCU